UACGAAGGGGGCUAGCGUUGCUCGGAAUCACUGGGCGUAAAGGGUGCGUAGGCGGGUCUUUAAGUCAGGGGUGAAAUCCUGGAGCUCAACUCCAGAACUGCCUUUGAUACUGGUGAGCUUGAGUCCGGAAGAGGUGAGUGGAACUGCGAGUGUAGAGGUGAAAUUCGUAGAUAUUCGCAAGAACACCAGUGGCGAAGGCGGCUCACUGGUCCGGUACUGACACUGAGGCGCGAAAGCGUGGGGAGCAAACAGGG
rnacentral:rRNA from 1 species